CCUACGGGUGGCAGCAGUAGGGAAUAUUGCUCAAUGGGGGAAACUCUGAAGCAGCAACGCAGCGUGGAGGAUGACGGCUUUCGGAUUGUUAAACUCUUUUGUUAGAGAAGAUAAUGACGGUAUCUAACGAAUAAGUACCGGCUAACUCCGUGCCAGCAGCCGCGGUAAUACGGAGGGUGAAAGCGUUACUCGGAAUCACUCGGCGCAAAGUGCGCGUAGGCGGGAUAGCAAGUCAGAUGUGAAAUCCUAUGGCUUAACCAUAGAACUGCAUUUGAAACUGUUGUUCUAGAGUUUGGGAAGGGAAGGUGGAAUUCUUGGUGUAGGGGUAAAAUCCGUAGAGAUCAAGAGGAAUACUCAUUGCGAAGGCGAGCGGCUGGAACAUAACUGACGCUGAUGCGCGAAAGCGUGGGGAGCAAACAGGAUUAGAUACCCCAGUAGUC
rnacentral:rRNA from 1 species